CUUCCACCCUCAGGAAGUCCUCCCCAUGCAGAGUUCCUUGUUCUUGUUUGGUCCCCACUGUGCCCCAGUGAGACACUUUCUUCAGAGUUCAGAACCUCGCACAGACCUAGAAGCUGGAAACAAGGAAUUGAGAGGACAUCAGACAAUCAGAGGAAGAGCUGAGAUAGAGAGUUGCUGAAGUCACCUGCAGUCAUCAUCAAAAAGGAGGUUCCAAAGAGCGUUGAAGAUGAUGUCAGCCAGAAAUCCCCAAAUUCCAUUUUGUCCCAGGAUGACCGUGAUCGUUAAAACAAAAUAAGGAAAAAGUAUAAGGGAGGAAGGAGGUAUAGCAAACUAGAGCAGGGCGCAGACGAGGACAGAGUCUGGGAGAACAGGGCUCAGAAUGGGCCUUUACGCUUUGUUCUCUAUACUUCUGUAUUAUUUGAACUCAAGACUAUGACAAUGAAAAUG
rnacentral:lncRNA from 1 species